AACGAACGCUGGCGGCGUGCCUAACACAUGCAAGUCGAACGGGGAUAGGGAGCUUGCUUCCUAUUCUAGUGGCGCACGGGUGAGUAACGCGUAGAUAAUCUGCUUGACGAUCCGGGAUAACAUCUCGAAAGGGGUGCUAAUACCGGAUAACCCCACGGGGUCUUUGGAUCUUGCGGGAAAAGGGGGGGACCUUUUGGCCUUCUGUCGUCAGAUGAGUCUGCGUACCAUUAGCUAGUGGGUAGGGUAAAGGCCUACCAAGGCUACGAUGUUUAGCGGGUUUGAGAGAAUGAUCAGCCACACUGGAACUGAGACACGGUCCAGGCUCCUACGGGAGGCAGCAGAGGGGAAUUUUGCGCAAUGGGCGAAAGCCUGACGCAGCAACGCCGCGUGAGUGAUGAAGGCUUUCGGGUCGUAAAGCUCUGUCGAGGGGAAAGAAGUGUAUUGUGGCUAAUAUCCGCGAAACUUGACGGUACCCCUAAAGGAAGCACCGGCUAACUCCGUGCCAGCAGCCGCCGUAAAAC
rnacentral:rRNA from 1 species